rnacentral:lncRNA from 1 species
UGUUUGUCUAUAUAGAGAAGCUAUUUGAUUUGAUACGACUAUUGUAGUCAAUAAAUCAAAAUUGUUGAAUAAGAGUAGUAGUAAUAAAUAGUAAUGAUACACAAUUUUUAACUAAUAUUAAAAAUAAAAAUAAAAUUAAACGGCGAUGGUGGUAAGAUACACCAUUUCUAACAUAGUGCAUAUACCUUAGUAAGAUACACCAUUUUUAACUUGGUGCAUAUACCUUAGUAAGGUAACCUUACCCCUGGCCAUGAGUUGCUUCAGAACAGCAAAAUUUUAGUACUCUACUUUUCACUUAUGCCUACAUACGUACACAGAAUAGUACAAAAAUAAAUAAUACACCUUUUAACAAAUUAAAGUAGAUAAGAAAUGGUCUGUGUUUUUGUAUUAAAAAAAAUGAAAUGGAUCUAUGUUUUAUGCGCCUUUCUUUUUUUUUUGGUAUAAUUUACUAACAGAUUGUUAUAAAGUUUUCU